ACGGGGUGCAGCAGGCGCGAAAACUCCGCAAUGCACGAAAGUGUGACGGGGCUACCCCGAGUGCCGUCCGCUGAGGAUGGCUUUUCUCUGCUGUAAGGAAGCGGAGGAAUAAGGAGAGGGCAAGUCUGGUGUCAGCCGCCGCGGUAAUACCAGCUCUCCGAGUGGUAGGGAUGAUUAUUGGGCUUAAAGCGUCCGUAGCCGGCUUUUCAAGUCUCUCGUUAAAUCCAGCGAUUCAAUCGUUGGACUGCGGGAGAUACUGCUAGGCUAGGAGAUGGGAGAAGCCGACGGUAUUUCCGGAGUAGGGGUAAAAUCCUAUAAUCCCGGGAAGACCACCAGUGGCGUAGGCGGUCGGCUAGCACACGCUCGACGGUGAGGGACGAAAGCUGGGGAGCGAACCGGAUUAGAUACCCGGGUAGUCCCAGCUGUAAACGAUGCGGACUAGGUGUUGGAGCGGCUACGGGCCGCUUCAGUGCCGCAGGGAAGCCAUUAAGUCCGACGCCUGGGGAGUACGGCCGCAAGGCUGAAACUUAAAGGAAUUGGCGGGGGAGCA
rnacentral:rRNA from 1 species